rnacentral:rRNA from 1 species
UACGUAGGGAGCAAGCGUUAUCCGGAUUUAUUGGGUGUAAAGGGUGCGUAGACGGGAAGUUAAGUUAGUUGUGAAAUCCCUCGGCUCAACUGAGGAACUGCAACUAAAACUGGCUAUCUUGAGUGCAGGAGAGGAAAGUGGAAUUCCUAGUGUAGCGGUGAAAUGCGUAGAUAUUAGGAGGAACACCAGUGGCGAAGGCGACUUUCUGGACUGUAACUGACGUUGAGAUGCGAAAGCGUGGGUAGCAAAC